rnacentral:rRNA from 1 species
UACGGAGGGUGCAAGCGUUAAUCGGAAUUACUGGGCGUAAAGCGUGCGUAGGCGGUUCGUUAAGUCUGCUGUGAAAGCCCCGGGCUCAACCUGGGAAUGGCAGUGGAUACUGGCGAGCUAGAGUGUGAUAGAGGAUGGUGGAAUUCCCGGUGUAGCGGUGAAAUGCGUAGAGAUCGGGAGGAACACCGGUGGCGAAGGCGGCAUCCUGGACCAUUACUGACACUGAAAAGCGAAAGCCAGGGGAGCAAACGGG